AAAAGAGGCUGCAGAUUCUUAGUGGACAGCUCUCAUAUCCCCUCCAGGGAAAAUGAUGAAAAAUGUCUUCAGAAAAAUAGCUUUAUGAAGGCAAGAGGACUUUUUGCACCUGCAAGACAUGUCUGAAAGCUCCUCAGGUCAAAACACAAGUAGUCAAGAGAUUUGUCCAUCUAAUUCAUCAUACUACUCUGAUCCAAGUGAGACCCACACUGGGUCAGCUCCAUCAAGGAGAAGAACAUUCCACCCACGUUUGGAUUCUGGAAUAUCAUCCUUGCUUCCAUCAGAUUCUUGUAAGUACCUCACUUGGCACAAGGUAGACAUGACGUUCAAGGAAGUCAACUGCGUUGCCCAAGAGUAAGAGAAGGAAUCUCUGAAGAAGAGCAACUUUUCAGACAGGUAGAGUGUGCCUUGCUCCCAAGGAAAAGAGUUCUUGAAAAAAACAAAUGGGAAACAUGGCUACAAGAAAACUGGGAAGACUGCAAGAAUUUGAACAUUUCAUUUCAGGGUUUGGGGGAUCCUUACCAAGUUGAAAAUUUUAACAGAAUUCUUAGAAGACUAAUUCGAGUUGAAACCCUCUGGUUAGUGGAUAAUUCACUGGUGGACUUAAGUGCCAUAAGAUUGCCAAGGCAAAAACAUGCUAACUGACAAGAAAAUCAUGGGUUUUAUACAAGGAUAACAAGUGCUGGGUUGCUUAGCUAUGAGGAAGGCUAGGCUCACUGCAUACCAGAAGAUGUACAGCGUUGGAGAAUUCAGGGAUUUUUAUCAACAAUCAAACUAUAUUUGUGGAAAUUUUGUGCAUAAGUGCCAAAGAUGGCUGACAUCGGACCACAUUCUAUUUAACUCAACUGAAUGACACCAAGCUCUCAUCCUAAAACUUAUAGUUACAUCCACCCUUCUGAAAUAUUUAAUUAUUCUCCAAUACACUGGAGGUAAUAGGUAUAAAAAGAAUGAGCAUGUGCAACUUAGUAUCUCAUAUCUAAUUUUGUGUCCCAAGUUCAUUCUUCCCCUGAAUGUCCCAUGUCUACCAGGUGCAGGAUUAUCUGGAUGGGUCAGUUCAAAACAAUUUCAGGGAAUAAAUUGUGUAGGGGACUCAAUUUUCUGAGACAGAAACAUAAUGUGAAUAACUCCUUUGUUAGAAAAUAAUUUCAGUGACAGAAAGCCUUUCAGUUCAUAAAGAAAACUUACAUAUCAACAAGCCUAGCUCCUCACUAGUCCCAGUGAAUGCUUACAUCAAUCAGCUCUACAAUAUCCAGUAAAGGACUUUCCAAUUCGCCUUUGAAUAAACUGAGGUAUUGGAAACAUCUAAGAAAAUGGUUUUUAAUUCUUCCUAAUCUUCAGGGAGUUCUUCCUUAUAUUGAGCUGAUAUCUGCCCUCUGUAACUUUCAACUAAUUAUUCAAAUCUCUCAAGUGAUUAUAAUUAAUUCCAUCUUAUAAGGAAUUUUUCUCAGCUUCCAGCCUCUUGAAAAUACUCUGAUAUUUUCUCUAAUAUUCAAGUGGAAAUGUAAAUGGGUAACGUAAGAGUCUGUGGGGUUAGGAGGGUGGAGGAAAGGUAAGGGAAAGCUAAUGAGAAAUAACCAAAGCAAGAAAAAGAAUUUUAUUUUCUUCAAGUUCUUUGUACAUCCAAAGUGGAAGAUUCCUAAAAUAAAUUCCCCAUACCACAUUUUAAAAAUUAGGUUAGCAAGCUUACUUUUUAAUUUAUUUAGAAGCCAACUACUUCCAUUUAUUAUUUCUUUCCAGAAUAGAACAAUUAUCACUAAUUGUUUGUCAUUAUAAUGCCAAACUAUGUUAAUAGAUGCCUAUUUUUUUAAAGGCUAAUUGCAAUCAUGAAACCAAAUAUCUAAUUAGUUUUAGAGCUUUGGACCACAUGCAUCAAUAUUUGAAUCAUUCAGGUGUAUAUUUGCUUUCUGCUUUUUUGUCUCUUCAAAAGAAGUAUUAUAUGCAUUCUGUUUAUAAUUUCUAAAUGGUCAUUUCAAAACUGAUUAUACGAGUUUAUACAAAUCAUACUGAAAUUUGUUGCUUAAAAAAUCUUCAUUUUUCUCUAAGCUCUCAGUGUCCUUGAGCUAUAUAUAUUUUAUGGCAAUUUUUACUUAAUAGUUUGUAUGCUAGUUAUUUUUGACAAUGACUACUAAAAUGCAAGUUUCUUCAAGGGCAGAUUCACCUUAGUUCUUCUUUAUACCCCUCAAAAACCUCAGGGUUAUUCUCAAUAAGUAUUGAGUAGGUGAGUGAACUUUGGAUGUAUACUCCUUGAAAUUAUAUUUCUGGAGCUGGAAAACUUUAAAAAAAUGUAUGUCAUGAGUCUAAAGAAAUAAACAUUAUAUGGCUGAAAAAAUACUUUGUGAAAA
rnacentral:lncRNA from 1 species